GGAGCGGCCGAUAUCAUAUUAGGUAAUUGGUGAGGUAAAGGCUCACCAAGCCGACGAUCUGUAGCUGGUCUGAGAGGACGACCAGCCUCACUGUAACUGAUACCCGGUCCAUACUCCUACGGGAGGCAGCAUUGGGGAAUUUUGGACAAUGGACGCAAGUCUGAUCCAGCCAUUCCGCGUGCAGGACGAAGGCCUUCCGGUUGUAAACUGCUUUUGUACAGAACGAAAAACUCUCUAUUAAUACUAGGGGCUCAUGACGGUACUGUAAGAAUAACCACCGGCUAACUACGUGCCACCCGCCGCGGUAAUACGUAGGGUGCAAGCGUUAAUCGGAAUUACUGGGCGUAAAGCGUGCGCAGGCGGUUAUAUAAGACAGAUGUGAAAUCCCCGGGCUCAACCUGGGAACUGCAUUUGUGACUGUAUAGCUGGAGUGCGGCAGAGGGGGAUGGAAUUCCGCGUGUAGCAGUGAAAUGCGUAGAUAUGCGGAGGAACACCGAUGGCGAAUGCAAUCCCCUGGGCCUGCACUGACGCUCAUGCACGAA
rnacentral:rRNA from 1 species